rnacentral:rRNA from 1 species
AGCGAACGCUGGCGGCAGGCUUAACACAUGCAAGUCGAACGGAUCCUUCGGGAUUAGUGGCGGACGGGUGAGUAACACGUGGGAACGUGCCUUUUGGUUCGGAACAACACAGGGAAACUUGUGCUAAUACCGAAUGUGCCCUUCGGGGGAAAGAUUUAUCGCCAUUAGAGCGGCCCGCGUCUGAUUAGCUAGUUGGUGAGGUAAAGGCUCACCAAGGCUACGAUCAGUAGCUGGUCNGAGAGGAUGAUCAGCCACACU